rnacentral:rRNA from 1 species
CAUCACUAGUAGAUGGACCUGCGUUGUAUUAGCUAGUUGGUGGGGUAACGGCCUACCAAGGCGACGAUACAUAGCCGACCUGAGAGGGUGAUCGGCCACACUGGGACUGAGACACGGCCCAGACUCCUACGGGAGGCAGCAGUAGGGAAUCUUCGGCAAUGGGGGCAACCCUGACCGAGCAACGCCGCGUGAGUGAAGAAGGUUUUCGGAUCGUAAAGCUCUGUUGUAAGAGAAGAACGUGUGUGAGAGUGGAAAGUUCACACAGUGACGGUAACUUACCAGAAAGGGACGGCUAACUACGUGCCAGCAGCCGCGGUAAUACGUAGGUCCCGAGCGUUGUCCGGAUUUAUUGGGCGUAAAGCGAGCGCAGGCGGUUUAAUAAGUCUGAAGUUAAAGGCAGUGGCUUAACCAUUGUUCGCUUUGGAAACUGUUAAACUUGAGUGCAGAAGGGGAGAGUGGAAUUCCAUGUGUAGCGGUGAAAUGCGUAGAUAUAUGGAGGAACACCGGUGGCGAAAGCGGCUCUCUGGUCUGUAACUGACGCUG